UACAUGUACUGUACUGCAGGUGGAACUAGAAGACGAGGAUGGACGCAAUCAGGAAAAAGAUGCAGUCUCUCAAGGGAGAAACUGAUUCCCUCUACGCUACCAUUGGACGGUUUGAGGAUGCCACCAAAGCCUCAAAUGCACAA